rnacentral:rRNA from 1 species
UAAGGAAUAUUGGACAAUGGUCGCAAGACUGAUCCAGCCAUGCCGCGUGCAGGAAGACGGCCCUAUGGGUUGUAAACUGCUUUUGUACCAGAGAAAACCUAUCUACGUGUAGAUAGCUGAUAGUAUGGUAAGAAUAAGCAUCGGCUAACUUCGUGCCAGCAGCCGCGGUAAGACGAAGGAUGCAAGCGUUAUCCGGAUUCAUUGGGUUUAAAGGGUGCGUAGGCGGGCUUGUAAGUCAGUGGUGAAAUCUCUCAGCUUAACUGAGAAACUGCCAUUGAUACUGCAGGCCUAGAGUAUAGAUGACGUUGGCGGAAUAUGACAUGUAGUGGUGAAAUACUUAGAUAUGUCAUAGAACACCGAUUGCGAAGGCAGCUAACGAAACUAUAACUGAGGCUGAGGCACGAAAGUGCGGGGAUCAAACA